GGCGAGGGGAGUGAAAAAGAACCUGAAACCGUGUACGUACAAGCAGUGGGAGCACAGGUUUACCUGUGUGACUGCGUACCUUUUGUAUAAUGGGUCAGCGACUUAUAUUCUGUAGCAAGGUUAACCGAAUAGGGGAGCCGGAGGGAAACCGAGUCUUAACCGGGCGUUAAGUUGCAGGGUAUAGACCCGAAACCCGGUGAUCUAGCCAUGGGCAGGUUGAAGGUUGGGUAACACUAACUGGAGGACCGAACCGACUAAUGUUGAAAAAUUAGCGGAUGACCUGUGGCUGGGGGUGAAAGGCCAAUCAAACCGGGAGAUAGCUGGUUCUCCCCGAAAGCUAUUUAGGUAGCGCCUCGUGAAUUCAUCUCCGGGGGUAGAGCACUGUUUCGGCUAGGGGGCCAUCCCGGCUUACCAACCCGAUGCAAACUGCGAAUACCGGAGAAUGUUAUCACGGGAGACACACGGCGGGUGCUAACGUCCGUCGUGAAGAGGGAAACAACCCAGACCGCCAGCUAAGGUCCCAAAGUCAUGGUUAAGUGGGAAACGAUGUGGGAAGGCCCAGACAGCCAGGAUGUUGGCUUAGAAGCAGCCAUCAUUUAAAGAAAGCGUAAUAGCUCACUGGUCGAGUCGGCCUGCGCGGAAGAUGUAACGGGGCUAAACCAUGCACCGAAGCUGCGGCAGCGACACUGUGUGUUGUUGGGUAGGGGAGCGUUCUGUAAGCCUGCGAAGGUGGCCUGUGAGGG
rnacentral:rRNA from 1 species